rnacentral:rRNA from 1 species
AACGAACGCUGGCGGCGUGCCUAACACAUGCAAGUCGAACGGAAUGAGGGCUUGCUCCUCAUUUAGUGGCGCACGGGUGAGUAACGCGUAGAUAAUCUGCCUGAUGAUCUGGAAUAACAUCUCGAAAGGGGUGCUAAUACCGGAUAAGCCCACGAUGACCUUGGUCGUUGCGGGAAAAGAGGGACCAUUUGGCCUUCUGUCAUCAGAUGAGUCUGCGUACCAUUAGCUAGUUGGUAGGGUAAUGGCCUACCAAGGCUACGACGGGUAGCUGGUCUGAGAGGACGAUCAGCCACACUGGAACUGAGACACGGUCCAGACUCCUACGGGAGGCUG